GCGCAAGGGAGCUAAGAGUGAGCGCACAGAGGAGAGUGCUCCCUCGAGCGCCCGCCAGCCUGGUGACACCAGGGCCUGGCUCGGGGGACCACCUCCUGGGUCCACUGUAAGAGGCAGUGGCGUACAUACUGGGGUCGCGGCUGCGACCGGGCCCGGCCCACCAGGGGGCCCGGCCGGCCUGCGACCCGGUAUGUAUGCCACUGUGGCC